rnacentral:rRNA from 1 species
GACGGAGGAUGCAAGCGUUAUCCGGAAUGAUUGGGCGUAAAGCGUCCGCAGGUGGCAGUUCAAGUCUGCUGUCAAAGACCGGGGCUUAACUUCGGAAAGGCAGUGGAAACUGAACAGCUAGAGUAUGGUAGGGGCAGAGGGAAUUCCUGGUGUAGCGGUGAAAAUGCGUAGAGAUCAGGAAGAACAUCGGUGGCGAAAGGCGCUCUGCGUGGGACCAUAACUGACACUCAGGGGACGAAAGCUAGGGGAGCGAAUGG